CAACAUGACUCUCGGCAACGGAUAUCUCGGCUCUCGCAUCGAUGAAGAACGUAGCAAAAUGCGAUACCUGGUGUGAAUUGCAGAAUCCCGUGAACCAUCGAGUUUUUGAACGCAAGUUGCGCCCGAGGCCUUCUGGCCGAGGGCACGUCUGCCUGGGCGUCACG
rnacentral:rRNA from 6 species